rnacentral:rRNA from 1 species
GACGAACGCUGGCGGCGUGCUUAACACAUGCAAGUCGAACGGAAAGGCCCUGCUUUUGUGGGGUGCUCGAGUGGCGAACGGGUGAGUAACACGUGAGUAACCUGCCCUUGACUUUGGGAUAACUUCAGGAAACUGGGGCUAAUACCGGAUAGGAGCUCCUGCUGCAUGGUGGGGGUUGGAAGGUUUCGGCGGUUGGGGAUGGACUCGCGGCUUAUCAGCUUGUUGGUGGGGUAGUGGCUUACCAAGGCUUUGACGGGUAGCCGGCCUGAGAGGGUGACCGGCCACAUUGGGACUGAGAUACGGCCCAGACUCCUACGGGAGGCAGCAGUGGGGAAUAUUGCACAAUGGGCGGAAGCUUGAUGCAGCAACGCCGCGUGCGGGAUGACGGCCUUCGGGUUGUAAACCGCUUUCGCCUGUGACGAAGCGUGAGUGACGGUAAUGGGUAAAGAAGCACCGGCUAACUACGUG